rnacentral:rRNA from 1 species
GACGAACGCUGGCGGCGUGCUUAACACAUGCAAGUCGAACGCAAAGGCCCUGCUCUUGUGGGUCUCUCGUGUGGCGCAAGGGGGAGUAUCACGCGUGUAUCCUCCCCCUGACAUUGGGAGAACUUUAGGAAAAUGGGGCUCUUAUCCCGCAUGAGCUCUUGCUGCGCAGUGUGCGUUAGAAAGUGUCGGCGGUUGGGGAUGGACUCGCGGCUUAUCAGCUUGUUUGUUGGGUAGUGGCGUACCAGGGCUUUGACGGAUAGCCGGCCUGAGAGGGUGACCGGCCACAUUGGGACUAAGAUACGGCCCAGACGCCAACGGGAGGCAGCAGUGGGGAAUAUUGCGCAAUGGGCGGAAGUCUGAUGCAGCAACGCCGCGUGCGGGAUGACGGGCUUCGGGUUGUAAACCGCUUUCGACUGUGACGAAGAGAGAGUGACGGUAAUGGGUAAAAAAGCAACGGCUAACUACGUG